rnacentral:misc_RNA from 1 species
AACAAGGCGUACCUGCGGACCUGCGGAAGGAUCAUUACAGAGUUAUCCAACUCCCAAACCCAUGUGAACUUAUCUCUUUGUUGCCUCGGCGCAAGCUACCCGGGACCUCGCGCCCCGGGCGGCCCGCCGGCGGACAAACCAAAACUCUUGUUAUCUUAGUUGAUUAUCUGAGUGUCUUAUUUAAUAAGUCAAAACUUUCAACAAUGGAUCU